GUAAGGUGACACUUAUAAUCUCAUAGCCGGUCUCAAGCCCGAAAAAAGGAGGAGAGGCCACCCAUGUGCUUUUAGACGAAAAUAUAUAUGUUCUGUUGACUUAACGAUCAUGGUUGAAAUGAAAGAAUCAUUUAGGAGAAAUAUUAUUCCAUUGUUUUCAGACGAAAGAGCUGCCUUCCUUUUCUUUUAGAUAAUGAAACAAAUAUUUGAUGUAGUAUCAAAGGUCUGCAUGUUCAAGCCAAUGAAUCUCUCCAUUGAGGCGCUCAAUCACAGUGAGUACCGACACUAAAUCACUCAUUAGAUUUCUAUUAUUCCGGUCACAUCGAAGCUAUUUAUUCAUUUUUUGCUCAUUAAUUCAUGUAUUCUUUGUUCUUCAAUGUUUUCUAUGAAACACUAUUUUGGACUUUUGCCACUCAUUUGUGUAAACCACUCUGCAGUACAUCUCCUCGUUGAAGGAAUCGUUUACUUGCUUUCCUGCCGGCUUGUGUUAUACUAUGUCUUAUUGUCGAAGUUCUGACUUGGUUGUGUAUCUGCUGAUAAUGAAUUACAGCAUAUAUCUAGCUUCUGGUACACAAGGAUUCGAAGGGUAUCGAAGACGCGAAGGAUAGCGAAGAUUUGGAAGAUACCAAAGGAAUAGUUUUUCUUUUUUUCGAUGGUAAUAAAUUCUAAGUUAAAAAAUUGUUAAUACUCCAAUAUUCCUCAAGUUUUCAAGCUCGUUUGUUGAGACAGAGUAUAAUAUACACUACUCUGGUACAGAAGGAGUACUACAUAUGAAAUUUUGUGUUUGCAACUAAGAAUGUUUCUCUUUCUAAAACUAAUGUACUGUAAAACUACAAUAAUUUAGCCUGUGGGUACAAAAUACUGUGGUUUUGACAUAACAAAGUAUUUUGGAGUAUUGAGAAUACUGUGGACCUUUUUAGCAAGUUUUUUAUGCUCCUACGUAUUUUGAAGUAGUUUUCAAAUGUGCGCAUUGCUAUCUAGUUUCAGACGUGCCGUAUUGCUAGGUAGCCAGAUGUUGCAAACUGAUGAACAGCCAUGCGCAGAACAAUGGCAUGCACAAGCUAGAUCGGUGAAAUACUCUGGUUACUGCAGUAGUUGCGUGUGAAGAAGUAAAAAAACUGCAGGUACUGAAUUUAGAAGUCACGCUUCUCUGUGUACUGAUACCCUGCUCUUUCUACUAGUACAUACACUUCUUUUGUAAUUUGUCUGAAGCAUGCAUUCCUGUCCAGAACCCAAAUGCCAGCUUUGCCUUGUGCAUGCAUUCAACCACACCUGACCUAACUACACUCUACAUCCUUAGCUUUCAUUUGUCUGACCACUAUCUUGACAUCAGAAACAAACCAAGCUUACAUUUUUCAGAGUGUCUUUGUUAUUUUACAGAGUGGCUUCUGCAAAUGCCAUAAGAAGCAUCUAUCUGCAGAACAAGUGGAACCACAAUCCUGCAGCAGAAGCAGAUUACUCACAAUAUACAGUUCUUCUUCCCAGCAUAUACAGGUCGCAAACAGUAAUGGCUCAUUGAUGUACAGAGAGUUUUUUUUCAAAAAGGGGAAUGACCCCGGCCUCUGCAUCAUCAUGACGCGCACAACCAUUGAUGUACAGAUAGUAUAACUAGCUUCUUCUUUUUUUCUGCGAGGUGUCUAACUAGCUUCUGAUCAGCUCAAAACAGGCUUGUCUUGCCUCCUCAUCGAUUUCUGAGCAUUUUCGCCUGGCGGCGGUGAUGAGACUAUUUGCAGCAGGUAGCAAUGGAAAUAAUAGAAGUCCAUCUUGCUGGGCAUUUCCGUGUGCAGUAAACGACAGCGCCCGGGAGUCUGAACCCCUCGUUUUCAUUCAGCCUCAGCACCAACACCUACAGGCAGGCU